ACGGGGUGCAGCAGGCGCGAAAACUUUACAAUGCGGGAAACCGUGAUAAGGGGUCCCCGAGUGCCUGUACACGCAGGCUGUUCAGGUGUUUAAAACGCAUCUGGAGAAAGGGCCGGGCAAGACCGGUGCCAGCCGCCGCGGUAAUACCGGCGGCUCGAGUGGUGGCCACUAUUACUGAGCUUAAAGCGUCCGUAGCCGGGUUGUUAAGUCUCCUGGGAAAUCCAACGGCUCAACCGUUGGGCGUUCAGGGGAUACUGGCAAUCUAGGGAUCGGGGGAGGUGAGAGGUACUCUAGGGGUAGGAGUGAAAUCCUGUAAUCCUUGGGGGACCACCUGUGGCGAAGGCGUCUCACCAGAACGACUCUGACGGUGAGGGACGAAAGCUGGGGGAGCAAACCGGAUUAGAUACCCGGGUAGUCCCAGCCGUAAACGAUGCGCGUUAGGUGUAUCGGUGACUACGAGUUACCGAGGUGCCGAAGGGAAACCGUGAAACGUGCCGCCUGGGAAGUACGGUCGCAAGGCUGAAACUUAAAGGAAUUGGCGGGGGAGCAC
rnacentral:rRNA from 1 species